rnacentral:rRNA from 1 species
GAAGCUACUAGAUCAAACAACCCACUUUGUGGAGUCCUGGUGAUUCAUAGUAACCGAACGGAUCGCAAUUGGCUUCGGCCCGCGAUAGAUCUUUCAAGUUUCUGACCUAUCAGCUUUCGACGGUAGGGUAUUGGCCUACCGUGGCAGUGACGGGUAACGGGGAAUUAGGGUUCGAUUCCGGAGAGGGAGCCUGAGAAACGGCUACCACAUCUAAGGAAGGCAGCAGGCGCGCAAAUUACCCAAUGAAAACAGUUUCGAGGUAGUGACGAGAAAUAACAAUACAGGGCAUUUUAUGCUCUGUAAUUGGAAUGAUGGGAAUGUAAAACCCUUCCAGAGUAACAAUUGGAGGGCAAGUCUGGUGCCAGCAGCCGCGGUAAUUCCAGCUCCAAUAGUGUAUAUUAGAGUUGUUGCAGUUAAAAAGCUCGUAGUUGGAUUUCUGCUGUGGUCAUCCGGUACCGCCCGUACGGGUGCGCACCUGGUUUGGCUGCGGCUUUCUUCCUGUAGCCGUCCGCGCUUAAUUGCGUGUGGUGUGUUGCGGAACUUUUACUUUGAGAAAAAUAGAGUGUUUCAAGCAGGCUUGUCGCCCUGAAUACUUCAGCAUGGAAUAAUAGGAUAGGACCUUGGUUCUAUUUUGGUGGUUUCUAGGACCAAGGUAAUGAUUAAUAGGGACAGUUGGGGGCAUUCGUAUUUAACUGGCAGAGGUGAAAUUCUUAGAUUUGUUAAAGACGAACUACUGCGAAAGCAUUUGCCAAGGAUGUUUUCAUUAAUCAAGAACGACAGUAGGGGUUUUAAAAAACACAAA